GUCCCUGUAGCGCAAUGGGUAGCGCAUUGGACUUCUAAUCCAAAGAUCGUUCGUUCGAAUCCCGCCUGGGAUA